CGCGGCCUAUCAGCUUGUUGGCGGGGUAACGGCCCACCAAGGCAACGACGGGUAGCUGGUUUGAGAGAACGAUCAGCCACACUGGAACUGAGACACGGUCCAGACUUCUACGGAAGGCAGCAGUAGGGAAUCUUGCGCAAUAGGCGAAAGCCUGACGCAGCGACGCCGCGUGCGGGAUGACGGCCCUAGUGGUUGUAAACCGCUUUCAGCAGGGACGAAAAUGACGGUACCUGCAGAAGAAGUCCCGGCUAACUACGUGCCAGCAGCCGCGGUAAUACGUAGGGGACAAGCGUUGUCCGGAUUCAUUGGGCGUAAAGAGCUCGUAGGCGGUUCAGUAAGUUGGGUGUGAAAGCUCCGGGCUCAACCCGGAGAGGCCACUCAAUACUGCUGUGACUAGAGCCCAGUAGAGGAGCGUGGAACUCCUGGUGUAGCGGUGAAAUGCGCAGAUAUCAGGAAGAACACCGGCAGCGAAGGCGGCGCUCUGGGCUGGUACUGACGCUGAGGAGCGAAAGCAUGGGUAGCAAACAGGAUUAGAUACCCUGGUAGUCCAUGCCGUAAACGUUGGGCACUAGGUGUGGGGAGGAAUCAACCCUCUCCGUGCCGUAGCUAACGCAUUAAGUGCCCCGCCUGGGGAGUACGG
rnacentral:rRNA from 1 species